CCUGGUGCAGCGUAAUCAGUUGUCAACCAUUGGAUUAUUCAGUGUGCAUUGUCUGUUUUAAACAUCUCAGGAAUUAGGUGGGACAAACAACUAACUAUGAAUGUGAGAAUACAAGGCCAUGGAAAAUGGUAUCUAAAUUUACCAGGAGUUUAAGACUCCAGCUAUUGGAAACAGAAGAAGAGGAUGCAGCAGCUAAGCUGGCUAUUGACAGGCUUCUGCCUUCUGUUUCCAAUACUCACGUCCAAUGCAGUCUAUAAAGAAUGUAAACACUUCUUCAAUAGUACAACACUGAAUAAAAGUGGGACAUUUAAUUCUACUGCGUGGCCUGGUCUAUACCCUCUCAAUACUCACUGCAUGUACUACUUCAUUGGCCUCCGGAAUGAGAGAGUCGAGUUGAACAUCACAGACUUCCAGCUACAAGGAGUUUACCCUCACAAUCUAUGAAGUA